UUGACCUCAAAUCGGGUGAGACUACCCGCUGAACUUAAGCAUAUCAAUAAGCGGAGGAAAAGAAACUAACAAGGAUUCCCCUAGUAACUGCGAGUGAAGCGGGAAAAGCUCAAAUUUAAAAUCUGGUGGCUUCGGCCAUCCGAGUUGUAAUUUAGAGAAGCGUCUUCCGCGCUGGACCGUGCACAAGUCUCCUGGAAUGGAGCGUCAUAGAGGGUGAGAAUCCCGUCUUUGGCACGGACGCACCAGGGCUUCUGCGAUGCGCUCUCGAAGAGUCGAGUUGUUUGGGAAUGCAGCUCAAAAUGGGUGGUGAACUCCAUCUAAAGCUAAAUAUUGGCGAGAGACCGAUAGCGAACAAGUACCGUGAGGGAAAGAUGAAAAGCACUUUGGAAAGAGAGUGAAACAGUACGUGAAAUUGUUGAAAGGGAAACGCUUGAAGUCAGUCGCGUCGACCGAGACUCAGCCUUGCCUCGGCUUGGUGUACUUCUCGGCUGACGGGUCAGCAUCAAUUUUGCCCCUUGGAUAAUGGCGGGGGAAAUGUGACACCUUUGCGGGUGUGUUAUAGUCCUUUGUCGCAUGCAAGGGUUGGAUUGAGGAACUCAGCACGCGCCUUCGGGCGUCGGGGCUCCGGCCCACGAUACGUGCUAGGAGUGCG
rnacentral:rRNA from 1 species